rnacentral:pre_miRNA from 1 species
AUAUACACUAUAUUAUGUAUAAAUGUAUACACAUUUUCUAUAUAUCAUACAGUGUAUAUAUUAUACAUGUAUAGUUACAUAUAUGUGCAUAU